UUUGCCUCUGAAGUUAAGAGGAUGAGAAUCUCCGGGGAAGGAGCUUCGACCCGAGCGAAGCGAGGGAACGUUGCUUUAGCAACGGCCCGAAGGGCAAGCCACGCAGUGGUGAGUCAUCCUCUCUCGCCGACCA
rnacentral:sRNA from 1 species